UACGUGAGGCGCAAGCGUUAUCCGGAAUUAUUGGGCGUAAAGAGCUCGUAGGCGGUUUGUCGCGUCUGCCGUGAAAGUCCGGGGCUCAACUCCGGAUCUGCGGUGGGUACGGGCAGACUAGAGUGAUGUAGGGGAGACUGGAAUUCCUGGUGUAGCGGUGAAAUGCGCAGAUAUCAGGAGGAACACCGGUGGCGAAGGCGGGUCUCUGGGCCGAUACUGACGCUGAGGCACGAAAGCGUGGGGAGCGAACAGG
rnacentral:rRNA from 1 species